UCUCCGUAGGUGAACCUGCGGAGGGAUCACUACAGGCUUGCAAAAGCUCUGAAACCACUGUUUAUCUACCUGAAUCUGCUUCGGCGGGCGGCCCCAGGGCGGGGCCGUAGCCGCAAGGCGCCCGCCGAAGACCCCUAAACUCUGUCGUCUUAAGAAUCUCUGAGUAAUUAUAUUAAACAAAAAACAACUUUCAACAACGGAUCUCUUGGCUCUG
rnacentral:misc_RNA from 1 species